CGCCAGGCGGUUUUUUAAAGUUCUGAAGGUGAAAAGCCCCCGGCUUAACCGGGGAGGGUCAUUUGGAAACUGGGGAAACUUUGAGUGCAGAAGAAGGAGAGUGGAAUUCCACGUGUAGCGGUGAAAUGCGUAGAGAUGUGGAGGAACACCAGUGGCGAAGGCGACUCUCUGGUCUGUAACUGACGCUGAGGAGCGAAAGCGUGGGGAGCGAACAGGAUUAGAUACCCUGGUAGUCCACGCCGUAAACGAUGAGUGCUAAGUGUUAGGGGGUUUCCGCCCCUUAGUGCUGCAGCUAACGCAUUAAGCACUCCGCCUGGGGAGUACGGUCGCAAGACUGAAACUCAAAGGAAUUGACGGGGGCCCGCACAAGCGGUGGAGCAUGUGGUUUAAUUCGAAGCAACGCGAAGAACCUUACCAGGUCUUGACAUCCUCUGACAAUCCUAGAGAUAGGACGUCCCCUUCGGGGGCAGAGUGACAGGUGGUGCAUGGUUGUCGUCAGCUCGUGUCGUGAGAUGUUGGGUUAAGUCCCGCAACGAGCGCAACCCUUGAUCUUAGUUGCCAGCAUUCAGUUGGGCACUCUAAGGUGACUGCCGGUGACAAACCGGAGGAAGGUGGGGAUGACGUCAAAUCAUCAUGCCCCUUAUGACCUGGGCUACACACGUGCUACAAUGGACAGAACAAAGGGCAGCGAAACCGCGAGGUUAAGCCAAUCCCACAAAUCUGUUCUCAGUUCGGAUCGCAGUCUGCAACUCGACUGCGUGAAGCUGGAAUCGCUAGUAAUCGCGGAUC
rnacentral:rRNA from 1 species